AUGCUGGAGGUAUCAGAAGUGCGAAUGCUGACAUAAGUAACGAUAAAGCGGGUGAAAAGCCCGCUCGCCGGAAGACCAAGGGUUCCUGUCCAACGUUAAUCGGGGCAGGGUGAGUCGACCCCUAAGGCGAGGCCGAAAGGCGUAGUCGAUGGGAAACAGGUUAAUAUUCCUGUACUUGGUGUUACUGCGAAGGGGGGACGGAGAAGGCUAUGUUGGCCGGGCGACGGUUGUCCCGGUUUAAGCGUGUAGGCUGGUUUUCCAGGCAAAUCCGGAAAAUCAAGGCUGAGGCGUGAUGACGAGGCACUACGGUGCUGAAGCAACAAAUGCCCUGCUUCCAGGAAAAGCCUCUAAGCAUCAGGUAACAUCAAAUCGUACCCCAAACCGACACAGGUGGUCAGGUAGAGAAUACCAAGGCGCUUGAGAGAACUCGGGUGAAGGAACUAGGCAAAAUGGUGCCGUAACUUCGGGAGAAGGCACGCUGAUAUGUAGGUGAAGUCCCUUGCGGAUGGAGCUGAAAUCAGUCGAAGAUACCAGCUGGCUGCAACUGUUUAUUAAAAACACAGCACUGUGCAAACACGAAAGUGGACGUAUACGGUGUGACGCCUGCCCGGUGCCGGAAGGUUAAUUGAUGGGGUCAGCGCAAGCGAAGCUCUUGAUCGAAGCCCCGGUAAACGGCGGCCGUAACUAUAACGGUCCUAAGGUAGCGAAAUUCCUUGUCGGGUAAGUUCCGACCUGCACGAAUGGCGUAAUGAUGGCCAGGCUGUCUCCACCCGAGACUCAGUGAAAUUGAACUCGCUGUGAAGAUGCAGUGUACCCGCGGCAAGACGGAAAGACCCCGUGAACCUUUACUAUAGCUUGACACUGAACAUUGAGCCUUGAUGUGUAGGAUAGGUGGGAGGCUUUGAAGUGUGGACGCCAGUCUGCAUGGAGCCGACCUUGAAAUACCACCCUUUAAUGUUUGAUGUUCUAACGUUGACCCGUAAUCCGGGUUGCGGACAGUGUCUGGUGGGUAGUUUGACUGGGGCGGUCUCCUCCUAAAGAGUAACGGAGGAGCACGAAGGUUGGCUAAUCCUGGUCGGACAUCAGGAGGUUAGUGCAAUGGCAUAAGCCAGCUUGACUGCGAGCGUGACGGCGCGAGCAGGUGCGAAAGCAGGUCAUAGUGAUCCGGUGGUUCUGAAUGGAAGGGCCAUCGCUCAACGGAUAAAAGGUACUCCGGGGAUAACAGGCUGAUACCGCCCAAGAGUUCAUAUCGACGGCGGUGUUUGGCACCUCGAUGUCGGCUCAUCACAUCCUGGGGCUGAAGUAGGUCCCAAGGGUAUGGCUGUUCGCCAUUUAAAGUGGUACGCGAGCUGGGUUUAGAACGUCGUGAGACAGUUCGGUCCCUAUCUGCCGUGGGCGCUGGAGAACUGAGGGGGGCUGCUCCUAGUACGAGAGGACCGGAGUGGACGCAUCACUGGUGUUCGGGUUGUCAUGCCAAUGGCACUGCCCGGUAGCUAAAUGCGGAAGAGAUAAGUGCUGAAAGCAUCUAAGCACGAAACUUGCCCCGAGAUGAGUUCUCCCUGACUCCUUGA
rnacentral:rRNA from 1 species